rnacentral:lncRNA from 1 species
AAAAAGACGGAAUAAAAAAGAUGUCAACCGACUUUCAUGGGCCUAAAAAUUGAGACUAGUAAGCCUGAUGUUGGGCCAUGUGUUUCCUCCAUCGACUACGUCCGAUUCUGCCAGCCCAAAGCUGGAGCUGCGACCGUGACGUCCUGCAAUUCAGAAUUCACAAAGCAGCUGCUUCUGCUUUGUUCACCUAGAAAUUAGAAAAGAUUUAGACAUUGGAAUUUGACUCAGCCAGUUUGAGGCGCAGACCAUCAUCUAUAUGCAGCGAGCAAAUUAGAGGAAUCCACGAACCGAUGCAAAAGUAUAUAAAGCUCUGUUGGCUAGUAAUCGGAUAAGGGCCAUACAUAUUGC